rnacentral:rRNA from 1 species
AGAGUUUGAUCCUGGCUCAGGAUAAACGCUAGCGGCAGGCCUAACACAUGCAAGUCGAGGGGCAGCGGGUGGAGUAUUUCGGUACUCCUGCCGGCGACCGGCGCACGGGUGCGUAACGCGUAUGCAACCUACCUUUAACAGGGGGAUAAUCCGAAGAAAUUUGGUCUAAUACCCCAUAAUAUCAUUUAAGGCAUCUUAGAUGGUUGAAAAUUCCGAUGGUUAGAGAUGGGCAUGCGUUGUAUUAGCUAGUUGGUGAGGUAACGGCUCACCAAGGCUACGAUACAUAGGGGGACUGAGAGGUUUUCCCCCCACACUGGUACUGAGACACGGACCAGACUCCUACGGGAGGCAGCAGUGAGGAAUAUUGGUCAAUGGACGCAAGUCUGAACCAGCCAUGCCGCGUGCAGGAUGACGGCUCUAUGAGUUGUAAACUGCUUUUGUACGAGGGUAAACGCAGAUACGUGUAUCUGUCUGAAAGUAUCGUACGAAUAAGGAUCGGCUAACUCCGUGCCAGCAGCCGCGGUAAUACGGAGGAUUCAAGCGUUAUCCGGAUUUAUUGGGUUUAAAGGGUGCGUAGGCGGUUUGAUAAGUUAGAGGUGAAAUUUCGGGGCUCAACCCUGAACGUGCCUCUAAUACUGUUGAGCUAGAGAGUAGUUGCGGUAGGCGGAAUGUAUGGUGUAGCGGUGAAAUGCUUAGAGAUCAUACAGAACACCGAUUGCGAAGGCAGCUUACCAAACUAUAUCUGACGUUGAGGCACGAAAGCGUGGGGAGCAAACAGGAUUAGAUACCCUGGUAGUCCACGCAGUAAACGAUGAUAACUCGUUGUCGGCGAUACACAGUCGGUGACUAAGCGAAAGCGAUAAGUUAUCCACCUGGGGAGUACGUUCGCAAGAAUGAAACUCAAAGGAAUUGACGGGGGCCCGCACAAGCGGAGGAACAUGUGGUUUAAUUCGAUGAUACGCGAGGA